rnacentral:rRNA from 1 species
GACGAACGCUGGCGGCGUGCUUAACACAUGCAAGUCGAACGGAAAGGCCCUGCUUUUGUGGGGUGCUCGAGUGGCGAACGGGUGAGUAACACGUGAGUAACCUGCCCUUGACUUUGGGAUAACUUCAGGAAACUGGGGCUAAUACCGGAUAGGAGCUCCUGCUGCAUGGUGGGGGUUGGAAAGUUUCGGCGGUUGGGGAUGGACUAGCGGCUUAUCAGCUUGUUGGUGGGGUAGUGGCUUACCAAGGCUUUGACGGGUAGCCGGCCUGAGAGGGUGACCGGCGACAAGGGGACUGAGAGACGGCCCAGACGCCUACGGGAGGCAGCGGUGGGGAGUAUUGCACAAUGGGCGGGAGCCUGAUGCAGCGACGCCGGGUGCGGGAUGACGGCCUUCGGGUUAUAAACCGCUGUCGCCUGAGACGAGGCGGGAGUGACGGUAAUGGGUAAAGAAGCACCGGCUAACUACGUG